AUGACGACUACUACGACGACCUGGGCCCGGAGGAGCUCCGCCUGCUGGGGCGUCGAAUGUCCUGCGACGGCGCCCACCGUUGCCAGCAACCUUCACCAUGGCCGGCCUGGUGUUGAGCUGCGUGGGCGUCCUCGGAGUCACGUCCGGCGCCUUCGUCGUCAGCUGGGUCGGCUAGGCCGUGUUGAUCGCCAGCGCUGUCACUCUGGCAAGAAGCAGCCGCCGACGCCUCCUCGUCGUGCUCUUCAUGCCCAGGCAAAAGCAGGAGCAACCAUCGCCGGGCCAAGAGAUGGCAGCACUAGUUGGAAAGGAAAGAGCAGAAAUGGGAGCAGCUGGAAUGGAAGACGGACGCACAGCGCAGCCGGUAUUUAUAGCAAGCAGCAGAGAGGCAAAGCACAAAUUGAAAGCAAAUACCGCACAUGCUGCAGAAACACCGAGAAGACUGUAAAAAAGCGGCAGCCGACAGUGUAG
rnacentral:rRNA from 1 species